CGCUGAUAGAUAGGCAUGCGUUCCAUUAGGCAGUUGGCGGGGUAACGGCCCACCAAACCGACGAUGGAUAGGGGUUCUGAGAGGAAGGUCCCCCACAUUGGUACUGAGACACGGACCAAACUCCUACGGGAGGCAGCAGUGAGGAAUAUUGGUCAAUGGGCGUAAGCCUGAACCAGCCAAGUCGCGUGAGGGAUGAAGGUUCUAUGGAUCGUAAACCUCUUUUAUAAGGGAAUAAAGUGUGGGACGUGUCCUAUUUUGUAUGUACCUUAUGAAUAAGGAUCGGCUAACUCCGUGCCAGCAGCCGCGGUAAUACGGAGGAUCCGAGCGUUAUCCGGAUUUAUUGGGUUUAAAGGGUGCGUAGGCGGCCUUUUAAGUCAGCGGUGAAAGUCUGUGGCUCAACCAUAGAAUUGCCGUUGAAACUGGGGGGCUUGAGUAUGUUUGAGGCAGGCGGAAUGCGUGGUGUAGCGGUGAAAUGCUUAGAUAUCACGCAGAACCCCGAUUGCGAAGGCAGCCUGCCAAGCCAUGACUGACGCUGAUGCACGAAAGCGUGGGGAUCAAACAGGAUUAGAUACCCUGGUAGUCCACGCAGUAAACGAUGAUCACUAGCUGUUUGCGAUACAGUGUAA
rnacentral:rRNA from 1 species